GGGCCGUUGGCUCAGUUGGUGGAGCGGCCGACUUUUUUGUCCGUUGGUCGCUGGUUCGAAUCCGGUACGGCCCG
rnacentral:tRNA from 5 species